AUGCCAGGCACCGAUACAGGCAACCUUUCGGAGACCCCUGUGGGUCUUGCGGGGAAGGCGGGUCACACCCCAGCGAGUGACAACACCUUCAUACCCCUUACCCUUGGUGACACCAAUGAUGUCAACCAUUUCAUCUUUCUGGAAGACCGCUUCAACUGGGACUUCCUUCUCAAAGAACUUGUAGCCAUAGUCAACCUUGUCUGCGAUGGUGCCACCAUUAAUCUGGAUCUCCAUGAGGUGAGCCUUCUUCUGUUUCAAGCCCUUCAUCUUCCUAAUCUGACACGGACAAUAGUGGCGUACUUCUUCAUUUUCUCAAGCUGCAACUGGAUUUCCUUCUUUCCUGAAUCACUGUCAUACUUGAGGGCAUACUUUGUGAACGCCUUCUUCUUGCUCUUGCACCAGUUCUUGUAG
rnacentral:rRNA from 1 species